UCGAAAAACAUCGUUGCCUUACAAAACAUCGUGGGUUUACGGACUUUCGAUCUGGGGAGGAGCUCCGCCGAAUUUUCGCGUUUUUUUUGUGUUUUUGACUAGUUUCGGGCGCGUGUGUGGUUCCCAGACGGAAAAGGGGGGCGCCUGGCGGGCGUUUUGUCUUGGGCGCUGCACUUAGCUGCGCAAGACGUCUGGCAGAUUUUCCCCCCGACUGGCCCAAGAAUGUUGCCAGAAUUCUGGCGAAUAUGCAACAAACCGGUCGUGCACGGUUCAACCGAUUGAACCGAUUCGUUUUUGUGCCAGACAGCUGUGUGUUAUUCCGCCAGAUUUUUGCCAGAUUCGUCGGGCGUCACGCAAAACCUGGCUAAAAGAAAUGUGCCAAGUGUGUCUGAACUGCACGACAAACGUCCGCCUGCGCCAGACACUCAAAUUUACCAGAUUUUUUUCCGACCGGGUUUUAGAGUGCAGUUUGAGAGGGCUGUUAUCAGAUUUUCACGGAGUUUAGUGAUUUACGCCGGAAUGUGGUGCAUUUUCAUCAAGUUUAUUCGGAUGAUUGUGUUUUCUUCUUCCUGUGCAAAGGGAAGGAAUCGUUUUCUAUCGACAGUUACGUCGACUGUUAUGUCGACUGUCAGGGGCUAACCUCACGAACGGGAACGUGAUGCUCAUCGGUCGUUGUUGUGACAGUUCAGGAAGGGUGCAAAGCGGAAGGCUAAAAUCCAAUACCCAGAUCGAAAGUCCGUAAACCCACGAUGUUUUGUAGGGCAACGAUGUUUUUCUAAAAUUUCGAUGAACUGAAUGCUGCACGUUAGAGUGAAAGAGAAAGCAUGCUUUUAUUUUUCAUCGAUGUUUCACAAAGCAUGCUAUCUCGCUCUUGCAAAUCUCCGAACAUUUUCGAGACUUCUGUCAAAGUUGCAAACGCAAAAAAAUGUCACCUCGUGUGCACGUUGAAUCACGGUCGGAAAAAGAAAAUUAGAUUUAAUCUAUUUGAUUAGCCGUCUUUUCCUGGAUUAUUCGCACAUUUGCACGAAACGGAUUUGAAAACCGUAAUCCGCUGACAUUUGAAGGAAAUUGAGAAGGAGAUUCCAACAAUCAUCCGGUAGACCCGGAUGAUAGUUCCAAGAUGGCGGUCGUGGACGAUGAGAAAGAAAAAAAACACGCAAUGCGUCGCCGGACGUUCCCAAGCUGAGCAUCCCUUCCAUUGCGAGCUCGCCGAUUCCGAGAGGUUCCCCGUUUAGUGACUGCAGUUACGUCCGCCUAAGGAUUUUUAAUCGGGCUGCAAGCUCCGGGACUUGCCCACGAAGGCAGCGGAACUGGCCGCGGAAACCAGCUGUCGGUGUCCGGAACAGUGCAAAAGCUUCAGAAGAGCACUAACCUUUGACAAACUGAUUACACAUGUGGGAAUACGCGAACGCCGGUUCCUGCGACGAUGGAGGAGAGCUUGUCAUUUGUUGAGAAGGAGGAGGAGGAGCAGCAAAAGCAGGAGAGAGGCGAAGAAAAUUAACGAGCGCGAGAACAUGAUCAAAGCCGGGGUCGGUAACAUGAGCCGAUUAAAACGUCGGUCUGUGCCCCUCAGGCACGAUUGCGAGAAGGCUGCGGUUGUCCUCAGAGAAACAAAAGUGAAUUUCAACAAAAACAUCUCGAGAGCUGUGCAGAACUGUCGGGUCGCCAGCUCGUCAGCCCUGUCCAGCAAUAACAACACCAAACAAAUCUCGCGGAUGAGCACCUGCCGUACUGAUACAUUUGGCGAAAGUUGUCCAUAAACAUGAAUCUGAUGGCCCCGUUGGUCAACCGGUGGAUGUGGAACCGAUGCUGCGAGA